CAUCCGACUUCGCCGCAGAAGUUCGCCCGGGCGGCGACUCUCUCCUAGCCAAGCUCGAGCCCCCGUCGUCCCCUCCUCCUGGACCGCCUCUCCUCUCCUUUGAAGAAGGAGCACGGGGCCCGCUGCUACACCGCCGUCGCCGUCGUCCUGCCUGAUCUGAGGCGCGAGUGGGAGGAGAAGGGGACACACCCUCGUCCUCAGCCUGCCAUCGACGUCGUCCUGCCGGAUCUGAUCUGGUUUUGUUCUCCCUGUAAGAGAGCAAAAGUGCCAUUGUAGAAGUUUUCUUGAAAACAUCUGGCUACUUGGAUUGCGCAAUCAAGUGCUCUAACAUAUACCAUCAGAGUUAAGAUAUGUAGGGCUCUGGCUUACAUUAAUGGCAACAUUGGAGUUUGCCACAAAAUCUUCUGGUAUGCUGAAAAAUUACUCAUGUUCUCUAGGUCUCAAAAUCAAACACAAAUUAGAAAGAGUUAGGAAAUAAGCAGAUAUAUCUCAUAUUUGGAAACAGUGACAACGACUUUAUCCAUCAAUUUGCAAUUUGCUAUCAGCUCGUGCACAGAAUCAUGUUCCCGCUCUGAUGUUUGAAGUUCACUUUUGGCACUGUUGUUGAAGCUAACUCAUUGAUUUACAUGGGUCAUGGAUGGAAGAUUUUUUAUUUGAUGGACGUAGUCAGCAAACAACUGGUUUUCAUGUAAGUUUCUUCAUCAUAUAUUCACUUGAAUAUUGUUACCGAACUGUGUCACGGAGUUUCAUUAGUGGACUUGUCCCAGUCAUGAAUUAUUCAGUAAAUGGGGAUCUAGAGAAAAUGUAUCAUUGGUCAA